rnacentral:rRNA from 1 species
GACGAACGCUGGCGGCGUGCUUAACACAUGCAAGUCGAACGGUGAAGCGCCUUCCUUGUUGGUGGGUGUGGAUGAGUGGCGAACGGGUGAGUAACACGUGAGUAACCUUCCCCCUGCUUCUGGAUAACCGCACGAAAGUGUGGCUAAUACGGGAUAUCCUGGGUCUUUCGCAUGAUGGGUCUGUGAAAGAGGUUGUUUCGGGGGGGGAGGGGCUCGCGGCUGAUGAGCUUGUUGGUGGUGUGAUGGCCUACGAAGGCGGUGACGGGUCGCCGGCCUGAGAGGGUGGACGGCCACACUGGGAGUGCGACACCGUCGAGACUCCUACGCGACGCAGCCGUGGGCAAUAGUGCACAAUGGGCGAAAGUCUGAUGCAGCGGCGCGGCGUGAGCGAUGGAGGCCUUCGGGUUGUGAACCUCUUUCGCUAGUGAAGCACGCCUGCCUCGUUUGUGGGUGGGUUGACGGUAGCUGGAUAAGAAGCGCCGGCUAACUACGUG